GACGAACGCUGGCGGCGUGCUUAACACAUGCAAGUCGAACGGAAAGGCCCUGCUUUUGUGGGGUGCUCGAGUGGCGAACGGGUGAGUAACACGUGAGUAACCUGCCCUUGACUUUGGGAUAACUUCAGGAAACUGGGGCUAAUACCGGAUAGGAGCUCCUGCUGCAUGGUGGGGGUUGGAAAGUUUCGGCGGUUGGGGAUGGACUCGCGGCUUAUCAGCUUGUUGGUGGGGUAGUGGCUUACCAAGGCUUUGACGGGUAGCCGGCCUGAGAGGGUGACCGGCCACAAUGGGACUGAGAUACGGCCCAGACGCCUACGGGAGGCAGCAGUGGGGAAUAUUGCACAAUGGGCGGAAGCCUGAUGCAGCAACGCCGCGUGCGGGAUGACGGCCUUCGGGUUGGAAACCGCUUUCGCCUGUGACGAAGCGUGAGUGACGGUAAUGGGUAAAGAAGCACCGGCUAACUACGUG
rnacentral:rRNA from 1 species